rnacentral:rRNA from 1 species
UACGGGGGGGGUAAGCGUUGUUCGGAAUUACUGGGCGUAAAGGGCUCGUAGGCGGCCAACUAAGUCAUACGUGAAAUCCCUCAGCUUAACUGGGGAACUGCGUGUGAUACUGGAUGGCUUGGAUUUGGGAGAGGGAUGCGGAAUUCCAGGUGUAGCGGUGAAAUGCGUAGAUAUGCGGAGGAACACCGAUGGCGAAGGCAAUCCCCUGGGCCUGCACUGACGCUCAUGCACGAAAGCGUGGGGAGCAAACAGG